AGCAUCCACCCGUGUGGUUAUUAUCAACUGUGCAGGAGGAGGGUGGCCUCGCACAAGCCCAGCUCUCCCAAAGCAGUUAUCCAUGCUGUCAAAAGGGAAGAUUCCUUAGGCCAAGUCAAUCCAGUAGAGGUCAUCUGAGUACCAGAAAGCAAUUCGUGAAAGUGGGCAGUUCCCCAAACCAAGCCCGAACAAGGCUCUGAAACCUCCUGCCCAUGAUGCGUUGGACAGCAUUUCUAGAGAAACAGAACACAGAAAAUGACUGCAGCCGCUACAGUGGGGUCACCCAGUAAUCCAUAGCUUAGCUAGUUGUCUACAGCUUAAUCAGACUACAGAGCACCUUGUUAAUCGGCUAUGGAGCACCUUGCAGCCAGCCAAUGCACGUUUACUAAACUUUACCGUCUUGUUCUGUUGGGCUGAACACAAGUGCUCAGUCCAGGAUCCAUGUCGUCUAUAAAGAGUGUUCAAGAGUGAGGCCCAAGGGACCUAGUGGAGUGGGGUUGGCGAUGGGAAUGGAGGAGGAAUGUUGGUCCCAAUGACGCCAAAACUACUACAGAUCCAGGGUAGAGUUCAUAUGCGCCAGCCACCUGAACUACCACAAAGUAGGCUAGGUUCGACACCAGGAGUCUGGAACCAAAGUUGUCUGUUAUUCCCCCAAAUUGACCUGACAUCUUAUUGCCACAGGCCCGUGAUCACCAAUGCUUUAGAGCUAGAAGGUUGUGGAUGUUGGGAUAAUAAAUUCAUUAAUAUUC
rnacentral:sRNA from 1 species